rnacentral:tRNA from 1 species
GCGAGCGUCGCGAAACUGGUAGACGCACCGCACUCAGACUGCGACGGGCUUGCCCGUGGGGGUUCAAUUCCCUCCGCUCGCACCA